rnacentral:rRNA from 1 species
AAAUGACCUCAAAUCAGGUAAGAAUACCCGCUGAACUUAAGCAUAUCAAUAAGCGGAGGAAAAGAAAAUAACAAUGAUUCCCUUAGUAACGGCGAGUGAAGGGAGAAAAGCUCAAAUUUUAAAUCUGCUAGGUUUUACCUGUCAGAAUUGUAAUUUAAAGAAGCGUUUUCCGCGUCUCGGUUGGCCCAAAUCCUUUGGGAUAAGGUAUCAUGGAGGGUGAGAAUCCCGUUCGGUUGACCUUAUGACGCAUUACGAUACGCUUUCUAAGAGUCGAGUUGUUUGGGAUUGCAGCUCAAAAUGGGAGGUAAAUUUCUCCUAAGGCUAAAUAUCGGCGAGAGACCGAUAGCGAACAAGUACCGUGAGGGAAAGAUGAAAAGAACUUUGAAAAGAGAGUAAAAUAGUACGUGAAAUUGUUGAAAGGGAAACGAUUGAAGUCAGUCGUACCGACGAGAAAUCAGCUUAUCGUGUGUUAACUUGUGGGCGUGCGUGAGUUUCGGCCUCGCUGUUUGCAUGUUUGUGCGCUUUGGGUGUACUUUUUCGUAUGGUUGGCCAACAUCAGUUUCGAUUACUAUAAAAUGACUGGCGGAAUGUAGCUUCGAUUUCGGUUGAAGUGUUAUAGCCUCUGGUAGAUGUGGUGAUUGAGACUGAGGAUUGCAACGAAUAUCCUUUGGGCUAUCCGUCUGGCCUCUGAAAGUUGCUUGGGUGCUGAAAGCUUGCUUAUGGUUAUCUAAGUUAACGGUCAAUAGGUUAGAACGUGAUUACAUUCGUUAAGGAUGUUGGCGUAAU